GAUGAACGCUGGCGGCGUGCUUAACACAUGCAAGUCGAACGGGAUCCACGGGGUGCUUGCACUUUUUGGUGAGAGUGGCGAGCGGGUGAGUCACACGUGAGCAACCUGUCCUUUUCUUUGGGAUAAGCGUACGAAAGGGUGUUUCAUACCUUAUGUUCUGUCUGCCUCGCAUGGGGUGGGUGGGUACGGCUUUGGCGGGAUUUGGGUGGGCUCGCGUUCUAUCAGGUGGUUGGUGGGGUGAUGGCGUCUCAUGGCUUUGACAGGUAGCCGGGCGGAGCGGGCGUGCGGUCACAUCCGGCCUCAGUUGCGCUGCAGACUCCUGCGGGAGGCAGCAGUGGGCGAUAGUGCACAAUGGUCGAAAGCCUGAUGCAGCGACGUCGCGUGGGGGAUGGAGGCCUUCGGGUUGUAACCGUCUUUUGCCCUGAUCAGGGCAUGCCAGUGCGUGUGUUGCGUGUAUGGGUAGAUUAGCGCCGGCUAACUACGUG
rnacentral:rRNA from 1 species